AGAGUUUGAUCCUGGCUCAGGACGAACGCUGGCGGCGUGCCUAACACAUGCAAGUCGAACGAGAAAGUGGUAGCAAUACCAUGAGUAAAGUGGCGCACGGGUGAGUAACACGUGACUAACCUACCCAGAAGUGGGGGAUAACUGAGGGAAACCUUAGCUAAUACCGCAUAACACCUACGGGUCAAAGGAGCAAUUCGCUU
rnacentral:rRNA from 1 species